GGUGAUGGUCGAGUGGGCAAGAACUUCGGGUUUUUGUCUCUGAGGUCCGAGGUUCGAGUCCCCGCCAUCACUG
rnacentral:tRNA from 1 species